AUUGAACGCUGGCGGCAUGCUUUACACAUGCAAGUCGAACGGUAACAGGCCGCAAGGUGCUGACGAGUGGCGAACGGGUGAGUAAUGCAUCGGAACGUGCCCAGUCGUGGGGGAUAACGCAGCGAAAGCUGCGCUAAUACCGCAUACGAUCUCUGGAUGAAAGUGGGGGACCGCAAGGCCUCACGCGAUAGGAGCGGCCGAUAUCUGAUUAGCUAGUUGGUGGGGUAAAGGCCCACCAAGGCGACGAUCAGUAGCUGGUCUGAGAGGAUGAUCAGCCACACUGGGACUGAGACACGGCCCAGACUCCUACGGGAGGCAGCAGUGGGGAAUUUUGGACAAUGGGGGCAACCCUGAUCCAGCCAUUCCGCGUGAGUGAAGAAGGCCUUCGGGUUGUAAAGCUCUUUUGUCCGGGAAGAAACGGUUUCACCUAAUACGUGAGACUACUGACGGUACCGGAAGAAUAAGGACCGGCUAACUACGUGCCAGCCGCCGCGGUAACAC
rnacentral:rRNA from 1 species